UUAAGCGACUAAGCGUACACGGUGGAUGCCCUGGCAGUCAGAGGCGAUGAAGGACGUGCUAAUCUGCGAUAAGCGUCGGUAAGGUGAUAUGAACCGUUAUAACCGGCGAUUUCCGAAUGGGGAAACCCAGUGUGAUUCGUCACACUAUCAUUAACUGAAUCCAUAGGUUAAUGAGGCGAACCGGGGGAACUGAAACAUCUAAGUACCCCGAGGAAAAGAAAUCAACCGAGAUUCCCCCAGUAGCGGCGAGCGAACGGGGAGGAGCCCAGAGCCUGAAUCAGUGUGUGUGUUAGUGGAAGCGUCUGGAAAGGCGCGCGAUACAGGGUGACAGCCCCGUACACAAAAAUGCACAUGCUGUGAGCUCGAUGAGUAGGGCGGGACACGUGGUAUCCUGUCUGAAUAUGGGGGGACCAUCCUCCAAGGCUAAAUACUCCUGACUGACCGAUAGUGAACCAGUACCGUGAGGGAAAGGCGAAAAGAACCCCGGCGAGGGGAGUGAAAAAGAACCUGAAACCGUGUACGUACAAGCAGUGGGAGCACGCUUAGGCGUGUGACUGCGUACCUUUUGUAUAAUGGGUCAGCGACUUAUAUUCUGUAGCAAGGUUAACCGAAUAGGGGAGCCGAAGGGAAACCGAGUCUUAACUGGGCGUUAAGUUGCAGGGUAUAGACCCGAAACCCGGUGAUCUAGCCAUGGGCAGGUUGAAGGUUGGGUAACACUAACUGGAGGACCGAACCGACUAAUGUUGAAAAAUUAGCGGAUGACUUGUGGCUGGGGGUGAAAGGCCAAUCAAACCGGGAGAUAGCUGGUUCUCCCCGAAAGCUAUUUAGGUAGCGCCUCGUGAAUUCAUCUCCGGGGGUAGAGCACUGUUUCGGCAAGGGGGUCAUCCCGACUUACCAACCCGAUGCAAACUGCGAAUACCGGAGAAUGUUAUCACGGGAGACACACGGCGGGUGCUAACGUCCGUCGUGAAGAGGGAAACAACCCAGACCGCCAGCUAAGGUCCCAAAGUCAUGGUUAAGUGGGAAACGAUGUGGGAAGGCCCAGACAGCCAGGAUGUUGGCUUAGAAGCAGCCAUCAUUUAAAGAAAGCGUAAUAGCUCACUGGUCGAGUCGGCCUGCGCGGAAGAUGUAACGGGGCUAAACCAUGCACCGAAGCUGCGGCAGCGACACUAUGUGUUGUUGGGUAGGGGAGCGUUCUGUAAGCCUGUGAAGGUGUGCUGUGAGGCAUGCUGGAGGUAUCAGAAGUGCGAAUGCUGACAUAAGUAACGAUAAAGCGGGUGAAAAGCCCGCUCGCCGGAAGACCAAGGGUUCCUGUCCAACGUUAAUCGGGGCAGGGUGAGUCGACCCCUAAGGCGAGGCCGAAAGGCGUAGUCGAUGGGAAACAGGUUAAUAUUCCUGUACUUGGUGUUACUGCGAAGGGGGGACGGAGAAGGCUAUGUUGGCCGGGCGACGGUUGUCCCGGUUUAAGCGUGUAGGCUGGUUUUCCAGGCAAAUCCGGAAAAUCAAGGCUGAGGCGUGAUGACGAGGCACUACGGUGCUGAAGCAACAAAUGCCCUGCUUCCAGGAAAAGCCUCUAAGCAUCAGGUAACGUCAAAUCGUACCCCAAACCGACACAGGUGGUCAGGUAGAGAAUACCAAGGCGCUUGAGAGAACUCGGGUGAAGGAACUAGGCAAAAUGGUGCCGUAACUUCGGGAGAAGGCACGCUGAUAUGUAGGUGAAGCGACUUGCUCGUGGAGCUGAAAUCAGUCGAAGAUACCAGCUGGCUGCAACUGUUUAUUAAAAACACAGCACUGUGCAAACACGAAAGUGGACGUAUACGGUGUGACGCCUGCCCGGUGCCGGAAGGUUAAUUGAUGGGGUCAGCGCAAGCGAAGCUCUUGAUCGAAGCCCCGGUAAACGGCGGCCGUAACUAUAACGGUCCUAAGGUAGCGAAAUUCCUUGUCGGGUAAGUUCCGACCUGCACGAAUGGCGUAAUGAUGGCCAGGCUGUCUCCACCCGAGACUCAGUGAAAUUGAACUCGCUGUGAAGAUGCAGUGUACCCGCGGCAAGACGGAAAGACCCCGUGAACCUUUACUAUAGCUUGACACUGAACAUUGAGCCUUGAUGUGUAGGAUAGGUGGGAGGCUUUGAAGUGUGGACGCCAGUCUGCAUGGAGCCGACCUUGAAAUACCACCCUUUAAUGUUUGAUGUUCUAACGUGGACCCGUGAUCCGGGUUGCGGACAGUGUCUGGUGGGUAGUUUGACUGGGGCGGUCUCCUCCUAAAGAGUAACGGAGGAGCACGAAGGUUGGCUAAUCCUGGUCGGACAUCAGGAGGUUAGUGCAAUGGCAUAAGCCAGCUUGACUGCGAGCGUGACGGCGCGAGCAGGUGCGAAAGCAGGUCAUAGUGAUCCGGUGGUUCUGAAUGGAAGGGCCAUCGCUCAACGGAUAAAAGGUACUCCGGGGAUAACAGGCUGAUACCGCCCAAGAGUUCAUAUCGACGGCGGUGUUUGGCACCUCGAUGUCGGCUCAUCACAUCCUGGGGCUGAAGUAGGUCCCAAGGGUAUGGCUGUUCGCCAUUUAAAGUGGUACGCGAGCUGGGUUUAGAACGUCGUGAGACAGUUCGGUCCCUAUCUGCCGUGGGCGCUGGAGAACUGAGGGGGGCUGCUCCUAGUACGAGAGGACCGGAGUGGACGCAUCACUGGUGUUCGGGUUGUCAUGCCAAUGGCACUGCCCGGUAGCUAAAUGCGGAAGAGAUAAGUGCUGAAAGCAUCUAAGCACGAAACUUGCCCCGAGAUGAGUUCUCCCUGACUCCUUGAGAGUCCUGAAGGAACGUUGAAGACGACGACGUUGAUAGGCCGGGUGUGUAAGCGCAGCGAUGCGUUGAGCUAACCGGUACUAAUGAACCGUGAGGCUUAACCU
rnacentral:rRNA from 1 species